rnacentral:rRNA from 1 species
AGAGUUUGAUCCUGGCUCGAGGACGAACGCUGGCGGCGUGCUUAACACAUGCAAGUCGAACGGGCACUUCGGUGCUAGUGGCGAACGGGUGAGUAAAGCGCAGGUAAUCUGCCGCAAAGUCGGGGACAACGUUUCGAAAGGGACGCUAAUACCGGAUGUUGUGAGUAAUUCGCAUGAAUUAUUCACCAAAGAUUUAUCGCUUUGCGAGGAGCCUGCGUCCGAUUAGGCAGUUGGUGUGGUAAAGGCGCACCAAACCGACGAUCGGUAGCCGGUCUGAGAGGAUGAACGGCCACAAUGGAACUGAGACACGGUCCAUACUCCUACGGGAGGCAGCAGUGGGGAAUAUUCCACAAUGGGCGAAAGCCUGAUGGAGCGACGCCGCGUGAGUGAAGAAGGGCUUCGGCUCGUAAAGCUCUUUUCUCGUUGACGAAUGACACUUAAGAAGUGUAGGGACGGUAGAUGGGGAAUAAGCCACGGCUAACUACGUGCC